GCGCGUAAAUUGCCCGAAUCCUGACACAGGGAGGUAGUGACAAGAAAUAACAAUACAGGGCCUUUUAGGUCUUGUAAUUGGAAUGAGUACAAUUUACAUCUCUUCACGAGGAUCAAUUGGAGGGCAAGUCUGGUGCCAGCAGCUGCGGUAAUUCCAGCUCCAAUAGCAUAUAUUAAAGUUGUUGCAGUUAAAACGCUCGUAGUCGGAUUUCGGGGCGGGCCGGCCGGUCUGCCGAUGGGUAUGCACUGGUUGGCGCGUCCUUCCUCCCGGAGACCGCGCCUACUCUUAACUGAGCGGGCGCGGGAGACGGGACGUUUACUUUGAAAAAAUCAGAGUGUUUCAAGCAGGCAGUCGCUCUUGCAUGGAUUAGCAUGGGAUAAUGAAAUAGGACUCUGGUGCUAUUUUGUUGGUUUCGAACACCGGAGUAAUGAUUAACAGGGACAGUCAGGGGCACUCGUAUUCC
rnacentral:rRNA from 1 species